GACGAACGCUGGCGGCGUGCCUAAUACAUGCCAGUUGAGCGAUGAAGAUUGGUGCUUGCACCAAUUUGAAGAGCAGCGAACGGGUGAGUAACGCGUGGGGAAUCUGCCUUUGAGCGGGGGACAACAUUUGGAAACGAAUGCUAAUACCGCAUAACAACUUUAAACAUAAGUUUUAAGUUUGAAAGAUGCAAUUGCAUCACUCAAAGAUGAUCCCGCGUUGUAUUAGCUAGUUGGUGAGGUAAAGGCUCACCAAGGCGAUGAUACAUAGCCGACCUGAGAGGGUGAUCGGCCACAUUGGGACUGAGGCACGGCCCAAACUCCUACGGGAGGCAGCAGUAGGGAAUCUUCGGCAAUGGACGAAAGUCUGACCGAGCAACGCCGCGUGAGUGAAGAAGGUUUUCGGAUCGUAAAACUCUGUUGGUAGAGAAGAACGUUGGUGAGAGUGGAAAGCUCAUCAAGUGACGGUAACUACCCAGAAAGGGACGGCUAACUACGUG
rnacentral:rRNA from 1 species